GUACUCGCUUCGGCGGUACAUAUACUAAAAUUGGAACGAUACAGAGAAGAUUAGCAUGGCCCCUGCGCAAGGAUGACACGCAAAAUAUAUUAUGUAGUGUGAUCAGAU